rnacentral:rRNA from 1 species
AUUGAACGCUGGCGGCAUGCCUUACACAUGCAAGUCGAACGGCAGCACGGGAGCAAUCCUGGUGGCGAGUGGCGAACGGGUGAGUAAUAUAUCGGAACGUGCCCAGUCGUGGGGGAUAACGUAGCGAAAGCUACGCUAAUACCGCAUACGAUCUAUGGAUGAAAGCGGGGGAUCGCAAGACCUCGCGCGAUUGGAGCGGCCGAUAUCAGAUUAGGUAGUUGGUGAGGUAAAGGCUCACCAAGCCGACGAUCUGUAGCUGGUCUGAGAGGACGACCAGCAACACUGGGACUGAGACACGGCCCAGACUCCUACGGGAGGCAGCAGUGGGGAAUUUUGGACAAUGGGCGCAAGCCUGAUCCAGCAAUGCCGCGUGCAGGAUGAAGGCCUUCGGGUUGUAAACUGCUUUUGUACGGAGCGAAAAGGCUCCCUCUAAUACAGGGGGCUCAUGACGGUACCGUAAGAAUAAGCACCGGCUAACUACGUGCCAGCCGCCGCAGUAAAAC